AGCGGGGUCUUAUUCUCUCGUAGACUUGUUAUAUCCCUCCACCUAUUGAGUUGCACCCGGUUGUCACACGGUUAUCCUUAUGUGUGGAGUCUUAUUCCCUCAGGGUAGGUUAAACAUAAACUUAAAUUGAAGUUCGUAAAUUUCCAAAGGUAUGACUAGCAAGUGUUACUAAAGGUUCUAGCAUCUAUGCAUCUUAGAAGUACAUAGCACACUCUCCCUCUCGGUAGUUCUACACACGGGCAGCCCUAUUAGCAUCUACCUUAUCAAGGUGCGAGGAGAAUGAAGUUAUUGGGCUGAUUUAAGUCAUGAAGUCACUUGUUUCCUUAAUUACUAACUAGUUACUACCUGCUUUCAACAGUUGUUCAUGAAUAUUAGGUAUGAUACCUCCCUAAGUACUUUCUAUCAAGGUAUGCUUGUUUUCGGUUUGUUUCGCUAGUUACUAAUUAAUUACUUCAUGGUUAGACAGGUAUAAAUAUUAAGAUAUGAAUAUCAUUGUUAGGCCAUGUCACUACCUAAGUGCCUAUUUCAGGUCAUGCUUUAUAGCAUACAACUCUUACGCACAAUAAAACUAAAUAGCGAAAAAAAAAACUGAAUAAAAGACUUUAAAUUGAAUAAUCAUAGCAAAGAAAAGAUUUAGCUAGAAUUAUUUUAAUUAUUUAUUAUAUGUGUUCAUAUGUGUCUAGGUGUGCUUAUUUGUCACUGUGUAUAUUUUAUUCCGGAUUAGUGGAUUUUUGGCCUAGAAAGGUAUUUUAGUCAUUUUUAGACUAAGGGGUAUUUUGGUCAUUUGACGAUGAAGGAUAAAGUAGUCAUUUUUAUUAAGAAGGUUAUUUUUGGUAUUUUAGUGAGGAUCGUUAAUUUUAUUAAGUUAAUAGUAAGUUGUAGUAAUUAUUUAAAGAUGGUAAUUAUUCGGUGUUUUGAUGGUUUAUAUGAGUAGUAACUUUUUAUGAAUUAGUUAGUAAGUAUGUUGAGCCCAUUAAAACAAUUAGAAACGUAUCCCAAUUAGAAGGUGGUAUAUAAACAUAAGUCUUGUGAGAAAAAUUGAGUAAAUAGUCAAUUUCCCGCCUAAAAUUGUAAGUUUCGUCAAUUACCCCCCGAAAUUAACAAAACUUCAAUUACCCCCUUGAAAUUGCAUAACAUUAAUCAAUUUACCUCUACGUCAGAUUUUUCUGUUAACUGUUUACGGUUAUGAUCAAAUACCCCCUGAAAUUUUGCACUUAUGUGCAAAAUGCCCCCUAAACUUAAAAAUUUAGAUUGAUUUUUCUUACCAAAAAUCAUACAUUUAGUUCUUCAAGUAGUAUAUUGUACCUAUUGUCAUAAAAAUUAUAUUCACAAGAAAAUGAAUGAAUAUAUGCCAAAGAAAUCAUGAUUUUGUCAUGUGCAGCCUUUUCAUUCAUAUUUCAUAUUUAUCAACAAGCAUUGUUUCUUCUUCCUCCUGCAGAUAUUAACCUAUGAAUUUUCUUUAUAGACACACAAUUAUCAAAGACUUGUGUACUUUAUGACUGCAUACUCUAACAUAACUAUCAACUUGUGUAAAAAAAAGUCUUCUAUAUAUGUAUAUAUUUAAAACACAUGAGAGUAACAUACCUUCCAUAAAGAUUUAUAAUGCUAUAUGGUACGAAAAAAUGCAUGUACGGAAAUAGACGAAUGCCCAACUUGUCCAAUUAUUAUGAAAUUAAAAACUGAUAUAGUAUGCUUUGACGGAAAUCAUGGGUAAUGACUAAUAAAAAUCUUGGCAAUUAUAACAUGAGAAGUAUUGAGAACAGCCAAUUUACGGAAUACAUGGCUGAAUGGCAAGCAAUAACUACUUUCGUUAAUUUUCAUGCUCACCGUCCCGUACUAUUUAUCAUUAUCCAAGAUUUAUAUGACCAAUAGCUGCAUAAACAUACAUUCCAUAUAUAUUUAUAUGAUCAAUAAUUGUUAAUUUGUUUGUCUUUAAUAUCUUUUGAGUCAAGGAUAAAAAAAAAAAAAAAAAUUUUAAAGUUUAGGGGGCAUUUUGCACAUAAGUGCAAAAUUUAAGGGGGGUAUUUGAUCAUAACUGUAAACAAUUAACAGAAAAAUUUAACGGAGGGGGUAAAUUGAUUAACGUUAUGCAAUUUCAGGGGAGGUAAUUGAAGUGCUGUUAAUUUUAGGGAGGUAAUUGACGAAACCUACAAUUUCAGGGGGGAAAUUGACUAUUUACUCGAGAAAAAUUAGGUUAACAAAUUCAUUCACUUUGCAAAAUAUUUUGAAAGGUAGAGAGAGAAAGUAGAUCAAGACUUGGAGAAGAGGAAAUAGAAGAAAAAGGUUUAGAGAGAUGAAAAGCUUGAAGAUAGGAAGAGGCUAGAGACUUGGGGGAGCUAAAUUGAAGCCAUAGUUGGUGCUAGAGAAUCCUAGAG
rnacentral:lncRNA from 1 species